GCCUCCGCUUUCCCGCUCUGCUCAGGGACCGCGACAGGACUGGCGGUGGGGCGGGAGGGCGAGACGCGGCUUUCCCUUCGGCGCCCGGUGCUUUUAUUACAGAUUAUCUUUGGAAGUCAAUACAGGUGCCAUGGAGUAAUGUAAGAUAAACAGGACUGAUAGUCAACCCUGCCCGGUUUGAGGAUGAGUCACUGUUUUCAAACUGCACAGUUUUAAGCAAAGCACACAUUCGGGAAUUCCCAAAAGGACAUGUAUACCACCUGAACCUCACUAUGAGGUGAGACGACAACUCGAAGCUCAGAAAGGUUAAGCAACUUGCUCUGGAUGUAUCAGGAUUUGAAUAUAGGCCUGGCGAACACAAGAGCUCUUUCCAUAAUGCUGCACUACUUAAUAAUAAAUAUUGCUAUAAAUAUUUAACAAUAUAUGCCUUUUAUUGUGUGCCUGAUAAGUGCUAGGCACUUGGUGGAUAUUUCUUUCGUCCUUUUAGCAACUCUGCAGGGUCAGUAUUUACCUUCCCACAGAGAUGCAAUAGUUUGCUGUGGGUAGUAAGUGCUAAGCCAGGUUUAUCCAGCUCCAAAACCUCCCUGCUCCCGUUUUGCCACAUUUCCUGCUGAUCUAGUAGCAUUCUCUCUUCACCUGGAGAUAUUAUUUGCCCUGAGGUCUUUGCUCCUCUACAUGUCCUUACAUCUCCAUUUUGUACCUCUUGGGUUUGACUGCAGUGCUUAAUAUAGAUUAUGCUUUUGGCCAUAAUGCAGAUGUUUUCUUUUACUAUGUAGUACUUAAACAAGAAUGUUGUGAAGUCUUAGUUUAUCUGCCAACUUUAUUGCCCGGCUCAGAAGCCUUCAAGGUCUCCUGGGCAGAAUAAACCCAACCUUCACAGUCUAGCUCUCAUGUGCCUGGUCACGAGGCUCCCAGAAUGCCGAGGCUUCCUCUGUGCACACUCCUGACCACACUUCUCCUGGGUUUUGCAGCUCAGCAGCCCCUGCACCCAGCAGAACAUAUCACCCAAAGUGGCAUUCAAUAAAUGUGUCUGAAGAGAGGUAAAAAGAAAGCUCUAUACCAUGAGAGACAAAGACCUCACCCAGGCAACAGGAAGGAGGCCUUGGAGACUGAGUGAAAUUUAAUUGAGUAGAUGAGGUGAGGCUUCAGGGAAGGCAACAUGCUCGUGGCACCAUCACCUUUAGCCUUACCUAUCUGCUGGGCUAGCCACCUGCACAAAAUGCUUUCACAUAAUAAUCCUAAUUGUUACCACUUACAGAGAGCAUGUGGUGACAUGCCAGGCGCUAGGUGCUUUACAGAUUGCUUUCCUAUUUAUGUAUUUAUUUAUUAUGAUUAUUAUUUACUUUGUGUCUCUCUCCACUAGCUCCACACAAGCUCCAGGGGGGCAGAUUUUGUCUGUUGUGUUCAAAACAGUGCUUAGCACACAGUAAGUACUAAAUAGUGACUGAAUUCUCCACAAAGCCCCCUGAAGGAUGAUUUUUAACCCCUACUUUACAGAUGAGCAAUUUGAUGCUUAGAGUGGCAAGUGACUUUUGCAAAGGUAUAGAUCCAACAAAAGGCAUAGCCAAGACUAAAAAUAGAUCAGGAUUCUCUCUCUCCAUUACCCUUGCAACUGUCUGGAUGCAGAAAUGUCCACUCCUGGCCUUGAAGUUGGGAAGCACCACCAGUCUGCAGGACUCCGUAGUUGACUAAUAAUGCUAACACAAUACCAAUUAACAUUCACUGUGCACUUGCUACAUACCAAGCAGUGUUCCCAGUGUUUCACGUUUUGACUCACCACAGGAAUGACAGUCAUGCACUGCAUAAUGACAUUUCAGUCAACGAAGGACAGCAUAUACAAUGGUGAUCCCAUAAGAUUACAGUGGCAUAUAUAGAAACCUGAUAAAUGGCACCUGGUAUUGGCACUGUAGAUCAAGUAGAGGAAAUUAUUGAUAUUCAGUAAUGGUGCUGGGACAUGUGGUUUCCCAUAUGAAAAAUAUAUAUACCUUCUAGGUUUGUGUAAGUACACUCUAUGAUGUUCACACAAUGACAAACUCGCCUAAUGAUGCAUUUCUCAGAAAGUAUCCUCGUGGUUAAGCGAUGCAUGACUAUACUUGCUAUGAUCGGUUUUUGACAGUUGAAGAACCUGAGGCCCCAGGGAGGUUUAAAAAUGUUGACAAAAUCACAGAGCUAGGAAAUUCACAAUCCAGCCAUCUGGGUCCAGCACCCACUCUUCGCCACUGCCCAUGCUGCCUCAGUGACAUGCUGUCAUAGCUGUCCUUUUCUAGGAUGGCAAACCAAGGGUCAGGACAGUGCGCAAAGGCAGGGCCAUUCUGCUUGGCCUGUUAGACAAGCUCUCGUUUCCUGUGAUCUUUUUAAGCUUCAUAGUCACCCUAUGAAGUCACAUAUGAGGAAAUGGGUUCAGAGACCCUAUAAGGGCCAGAAGUAGACAGAUGAGACAGAAAGUAGAUUAGUGGUUGCCUAGGGCCGCAGGGUUGAGAGAAAAUGACGAGUGACUGCUAAUGGGUACUUUUAGGGAUGAUGAAAAUGAAAGUGUUUUAAAAAUGAUGAUGAUUGCACAACUGUGAAUAUACUAAAAAAACCCACUGAAUUGUACACUUUAAAUGGGUGAAUUACGUGGUAAAUGAAUUACAGUCAUGCUCCACAUAAGGACAUUUUGGUCAAUGACAGAUCACAUGUAUGAUGGUGGUCCCAUACAUUAUAAUACUGUAUUUUUACUGUACCUUUUCAAAGUUUGGAUAUGUCUAGAUACACAAAUAGCAUUGUGUUACAGUUGCCUACAGUAUUCGGUACAGUAAUGUGCUGUCCAGGUUUGUAGCCUAAGAACACCCAGUACCAUACAGACUAGAUUGUCAUAGGCUGCAUCGUCUAGGUUUGUAUCACUCUACGAUGUUGGCACAAUGACGAAGUCCAUAACGACACAUUUCUUAGAACAUCUCCUCCAUUGUUAAGUGAUGUAUGACUAUAUGUCUUAAUAAAACUGUGCUGGGUUUUGUGGUUGUUUUGUUUUCUAAAAAGGGGGGCCACAUGGAAUGAAGUGGCAGAGGUGGCAUUUCAAUAAGCUUCAGAUCAAAAACCUUGGGACCAUCGUCACCUCCUCUUUCCCUUUCAUGUCUCACAUCUGAUUAUCAGCAGACAAAAUGUAUCUGAGGCAUGUUCCCGCUUCUCUGACCCCACAGCCUGGGCCCCACCACCCUCUCAUCUGAACUAAUGCACCCCUCCUAAGUGGUCUCCUUGCUGCCCCCUUGUUCCCUGUGGUCUGUUCUCUGCAGAGCAGCCAGAGCAAUCCUUUGAAAGCAUUUCUGUCGGAUCAUUUCCCUCUUCGGCUCAGAAAUGUCCAAUGGCCCCCAAAUAAAAUUCCCUUACAAUUCACAUUUGGCCCUGUCCACCUUCCCAACCUAUUGCCCACUAGCCACACUUCCUCCUUUGCUACCCUCAAAUA